rnacentral:rRNA from 1 species
GUUUGAUCAUGGCUCAGAACGUACGCUGGCGGCACGCCUAACACAUGCAAGUCGAACGAAGUAGCAAUACUUAGUGGCAGACGGGUGAGUAACAUGUAGGUAUCUACCCUUUGGCCUGGAAUAACACGAGGAAACUUGUGCUAAUACCGGAUAAGUCUUUACGGAGAAAGCUUUAUGCACCAUUGGAUGAGCCUGCACUUGAUUAGUUUGUUGGUGGGGUAAUGGCCUACCAAGACUGUGAUCAAUAGCUGAUUUGAGAGGAUGAUCAGCCACAUUGGGACUGAGACACGGCCCAAACUCCUACGGGAGGCAGCAGUGGGGAAUCUUGCACAAUGGAGGAAACUCUGAUGCAGCGAUGCCGCGUGAGUGAAGAAGGCCCUUGGGUUGUAAAGCUCUUUCGUCGGGGAAGAAAAUGACUGUACCCGAAUAAGAAGGUCCGGCUAACUUCGUGCCAGCAGCCGCGGUAAUACGAAGGGACCUAGCGUAGUUCGGAAUUACUGGGCUUAAAGAGUUCGUAGGUGGUUGAAAAAGUUAGUGGUGAAAUCCCAGAGCUUAACUCUGGAACUGCCAUUAAAACUUUUCAGCUAGAGUAUGAUAGAGGAAAGCAGAAUUUCUAGUGUAGAGGUGAAAUUCGUAGAUAUUAGAAAGAAUACCAAUUGCGAAGGCAGCUUUCUGGAUCAUUACUGACACUGAGGAACGAAAGCAUGGGUAGCGAAGAGGAUUAGAUACCCUCGUAGUCCAUGCCGUAAACGAUGUGUGUUAGACGUUGGAAAUUUAUUUUCAGUGUCGCAGCGAAAGCGAUAAACACACCGCCUGGGGAGUACGACCGCAAGGUUAAAACUCAAAUGAAUUGACGGGGACCCGCACAAGUAGUGGAGCAUGUGGUUUAAUUCGAAGAUACGCGCAGAACCUUACCAACACUUGACAUGUUCGUCGCGACUCUAAGAGAUUAGAGUUUUCGGUUCGGCCGGACGAAACACAGGUGCUGCAUGGCUGUCGUCAGCUCGUGUCGUGAGAUGUUGGGUUAAGUCCCGCAACGAGCGCAACCCUCACUUUUAGUUGCCAUCAUUUAGUUGGGCACUCUGAAAGAACUGCCAGUGAUAAGCUGGAGGAAGGUGGGGAUGACGUCAAGUCCUCAUGGCCCUUACGUGUUGGGCUACACACGUGCUACAAUGGUAUCUACAACAGGAAGCAAGACUGCGAGGUCAAGCAAAUCCUUAAAAGAUACCUCAGUUCGGAUUGCACUCUGCAACUCGAGUGCAUGAAGCUGGAAUUACUAGUAAUCGUGGAUCAGCGUGCCACGGUGAAUGCGUUCCCGGGUCUUGUACACACCGCCCGUCACACCAUGGGAGUUGGUUCUACCUUAAGGCAAGGUUUAAAACCCUUGACCACGGUAUAGUCAGCGACUGGGGUGAAGUCGUAACAAGGUAACCGUA